rnacentral:rRNA from 1 species
CACGUAGUUAGCCGAGGCUUAUUCCUAAGGUACCGUCACUUUCUUCUUCCCUUAGAAAAGAACUUUACAAUCCGAAGACCUUCAUCAUUCACGCGGCGUUGCUGGGUCAGAGUUUCCUCCAUUGCCCAAUAUUCCCCACUGCUGCCUCCCGUAGGAGUUUGGACCGUGUCUCAGUUCCAAUGUGGCCGAUCACCCUCUCAGGUCGGCUACUGAUCGUCGCCUUGGUGAGCCGUUACCUCACCAACAAGCUAAUCAGACGCGAGCUCAUCCAUAUCCGAUAAAUCUUUGAUGGAAAGAAGAUGCCUUCAAACCAUGUUAUGCGGUAUUAUCAGUCGUUUCCAACUGUUAUCCCCCAGAUAUGGGCAGAUUGCUCACGCGUUACUCACCCGUCCGCCAUGUAUUGCUACAUUCGACUUGCAUGUGUUAAGCACGCCGCCAGCGUUCAUCCUGAGCCAGGAUCAAACUCU